rnacentral:rRNA from 1 species
UACAGAGGGUGCGAGCGUUAAUCGGAAUUACUGGGCGUAAAGCGUGCGUAGACGGUUAUUUAAGUCGGGUGUGAAAGCCCCGAGCUCAACCUGGGAAUUGCAUUCGAGACUGAAUAGCUAGGGUACGGUAGAGGGAAGUGGAAUUUCCGGUGUAGCGGUGAAAUGCGUAGAUAUCGGAAGGAACAUCAGUGGCGAAAGCGACUUCCUGGACCAGUACCGACGUUCAGGCACGAAAGCGUGGGGAGCAAACAGG